CCUAUUUAAAGUUACUAAAAUGAAAAAUUAAAAUUCCUUUCUUAUUCUUGAAUUUGGGGGCUAGGGCACGCACAUUCACUCCUCUCCAUGGGCAUCGCCAACGCCAUCGCCAAAUCUGUUCUUCGAUAUCUGAGUUCGAUAUCUGAGUUCAGCUUCUGAUCCCUCCGUCGUCGUUUUCAAGGCUGAUCGGCGGCGCCUUGACUCCUCUAAUCUGAUCUCCGGCGGCGAAGAAUCGAAGCUGCCGUCAAAGUAAUAUGGAGAGAGAUCCUUCCAAGAAAGGUUUGCAAGAAAUAUGGAUAGCCCAAGAAAUAUGGGGAGAGAUCCUUAUGAGACUCCCGAUCAGAUGCCUUAUGAGGUGCAGGUGUGUUUGUAAGUCAUGGCGCAAUCUAAUAGAAGAGGAUCAGUUUGGGACUCCAAAACAAUUGAUGGCCUUUGUUAAUCCUGACAAGACAGGGUAUGGAGUCGCUGAUGAGGACGGCCAGCCACUUUUCCGAUUCUACUGUCUCCCUUCAACUCCUCCUCACCAUCGUUUGGUAAUUAGUUCAGUUAAUGGUUUGCUUUUGUUGUGGGAUGGAUUAGAUGAUAAUCUUGAUGCUCUUUUCGUAGUCAACCCAAUGACUUGCGAAUAUACUGAGCUUCCUCCUCUACCUACUCGGAGGUGUCUUUAUGGAUUUGGAGUGAGCAAAUUAAGUGGACAAUAUAAGAUAUUGUGCAUUGAUGAAUCUAGGUUUUCUCAUGUGUACACUCUAUGAGGAGAAUCUGACUCUUCGUGGAGAAGGAUCCCAGCACCACUGACAACUAGAUUGCCUACAACAAUGCAAUUGCGGGACUCAGUUACACUUAGACCAUCAUUUGAUUAUGCUAUAUUUUUUAACGGAAACAUUCACUGGGUUGCUUGUGAUUUAGAGAAUAAUUUUUUAGUUUGUUGCUUUGAUCUUGAAACAGAGUUGUUUACCAGUUUUCCUCUUCCACCCCUUGAUCCGCGUAUGUUGAUUCAUCCCGAGGAUAAACGUUUGGCUUUCUUAUAUUUGGGAUAUCGCCUAUACAUUUUAGAGGAUCGCCUAUGUUUAUGCGAUACAUCAUAUCCUAGAUAUGUUGCCAAAAUUUGGAAGAUGCACAACUAUGGAGAUGCAAGCUCUUGGAUAAAGGAAUAUGACUUCAAGUCACCAACAUUCUAUACAACUCCGCUCAAAGUAUUGACGAAUGACGACUUGUUUUUUACUGGCCAUGGUGGAUUAUUUAUCUACUCCAAAAACACCAAAGCUUGUGCUGGACGCAGUUUUCUUCAUCAAUAUUACUAUUAUUACUUUCCUAGUACCACUAUUUACAUCCCAAGCUUUUUUUCACUCAAAACAUUGGGAAUUCACAAUGUUCGGUUAUUAUGUUUUUAUUAGGAAUAUUUUUGUACUUUUAUAGAUUUUUGUAAGUUUGUUUCAUUAGAAACUAUUUUUUAGUGAUAGUAGAAUUUUGUACUAUUUCUUUCAGAUUCAAUCCAAAUGUAUCACAAUAUAUACUUCGGCGUGA